rnacentral:misc_RNA from 1 species
AAGUCGUAACAAGGUAACCGUAGGUGAACCUGCGGUUGGAUCAUUACAAAAUUGGUAUUUUACCAAACAUUGUGUGCACCAUAUCUGUUCUUGGUAGCGUCAUGAAGUUGGGACUUCAGGGGCACAGAGCUUGACCUUUUAGGUUCAGGGUUUCUGCCCCGUCUUGUGUCGAGGAGCCUGGCAACGGGGUCUUUGAUGCAGUUUUCUCAGCGAAUUGGUCUACCGAAAGGUGGAGCCUAUGACUUCGAAAGAGGUCAUGGCUCUGUCUACUCUAACCUAGUAUUGAAUUUCUGUCUGAAUCAUAUCACCUAAAAGUGAAAUGAAAAACAACUUUUGACAACGGAUCUCUUGGCUCUC